AGAAAUUUAGGUUAAACAGACCAAGGACCUUCAAAGUCCUAAGCAAGUGUCCCCACUUAAUUUCUG
rnacentral:tRNA from 1 species